AAUAAAACCCCAUUUGGAGACAGACUUGGAGACUAUACAUGGGAUAGCUGCCUGGUUUUCUAUAACAGGAGAAGUUCACCAUGAAGAAGGAGAUGGUGGCAGAUGGUUCUUUGCUCAAGGACUGGGUGUUUCAAAAUGAUGGCUGAAGGAAUGUGAUUGUAUCCAUACCUAAGAAAAGAUUUUACAGAGGAAUGCUUCUAAGAGAGUGCCUGCUGUGACUUGUGCCUGCGUCAUCUAAAAACUAAUAAUAAAGUAUAUUUUCA